UGUCACCCUCUCUGCUGACCCUCAACGUCGAGUCCCUGCCGGGAGAGCUUCCUGGAGCGCACGGGGGCCCUGGGCUCUUGCACCGGGAGACUGGGCCCCAGGCCGUGGCUCGCUGGGAGGCCAACGGCACCUUCCGCCGUCCCCUCCCCCCCGACCCCGCCCGAGGCCACGGAGGGUCCCCCCCGGCUGCGAUGGGCGGCGGGCCCUCUCCGGGGCGUUCCCCAACGGCUGUCCCCAUGCAUGGCCUGCACCUGCGAGGCGCGUCCCGGCUGCCCCAGCCGCUUUGCCUCCCACCCCCCUGCCUCGGGGGGCCGCGCCGGCCGACGCCCCCUCGGAGGGGAGCCCCCCGGGGCCGCUUGCUCUUCGUGCUGCUCCUGUGGUGCGUGAGGAGAGGUUGCCCGUGGCGCGUUCGCAUUCAUCAUGACGCACAAUACACGGUCGACCUCUCUUCAGCAUCAGCUCCCGCCUUGCAUGCCUCCUGCUCGCGCCGCAGUCCGGGGAGGGCCGGGCCGGGUGCAUGGCCGAGGGCCGAGCAUGUGCUGACUCCCAGCCCGCGGCCCCCGGGGCGAGUGGUGGGCGUCUUUGAGGAAGAAGCCUCCCGUCCGGAGUCAGCCCCGCUCAGUGGUACCUGAAAUAGGUUGCCUGUGAGGUGUUCACUUUCUAUACGAUGAAUAUUAUACAGUCAACCUCUUUCCGGUGUCGAAUCCCGCCUUGGACGCGUCCACUUCGGGUGCCGGAGGUGCAGGUGGUGGCGGUGCCCGCGCCGGUUGGCCCGUGGACUCGGUGUGGGGUCUGUGGCACCUGGCCUGUUCGCUUUCCAGCCCCACGCAUUCUGGAGAGCUUCUGAGAGCCACAAGGAGCGGGCCCGGCGGCUCCGGAGGCGCCCAGGCUGGCGGUUCCCGACGUCCCUGCGCUGGGCAGUCACCGGGCUCUGGGCUAGGCCUCCACCUGCUGAUCCUGCUUUCCCGAGGGCUCCCGGCCCCGCCCAGACCACCGCAGAGUCACGGGGUGGGGCGGGGGGGCGGGAAGGGUCAGGGCUUCUGCAAAGCGAGCUCAGAGGGAUGACCUAAGGGUUUGUGGAGUGUGCUAAUUGUCUUCCGGGCUGCAGGAAGCUCUUUCCGGGCUGGAUCGCAUCACCCCAGCGGCCUCUCCCUGGAAGGCCCUACUCUGUGCACGCCUUUCCCUUGGUGGCCUCCUCCGGCCUGUGGUCUCUCUGUGCCCGGAGCCAGGUCUCCCGCGGCGACCUUGCCAGUGGAGUGCCGUGGCUCCAGGCCGCCCGCUCUUCCCUGGGCACGGGGCCCCAGGUGUGGCAGCCACAUCUCCCCUGUGUGCCCAGCCCUCCUCUCCAGGCCCUGCUGUGGCCCUGGCCCGGGGGGCCUCCCUCUCCGGCUCAGACCACUGCAUAGGCCUCCCUCGGGUCUCCCCCUCCUUCUUCUGCCAAGAGAACCUUCUAGAGAGCAGUCUGGCUCUCUCUGCACUACCCAAAGCCCCUCCGAGGCACCCCUUCCUCAUGCCCUGCUCCACAGGGGAACCGCUGUCCCAAGACCCUGGUCGGCCAGCCUGGUUCCCUGCCACGCCCUUCUUUUGAUGUUUGUAUGUAUCACCCCCGCCCCUCCCCACUUAGGUCCACCCACCCGCCUACUGGGACCUGGGUCCUGGGGGGCCUCCUCUGCAGCCUGCCUCAGCCUCCUCCCCUCCAGCCUUCCCUGCCUGGGCCUCCCCCACGCCCUGCAUAUCGGUGUCUCAGGACACCUAGCCCCACUCUUGCUCGAAAGGGACUGCCCCUUUCUAGAGCCAGAGGUUCAGGAUCCCGGAGGGGAUGGACUGUCCCUUGUUUAUGGAGGCUGUCCGUUUUCCUAGUCACCUUCUGUCAGUCACCCUGUUACGGCUUUCUUCCUGGCUGACUGCUGUCUGAAAUGACCUGACGUUAAUGUUGGCUUUCUCUCUCCCCCCAGACUAAGAUUUCUCAGGGCAAGGAUUUUUUUUUUUUUUUUUUUUUCCUCUUCUGUUCCCUGCUGUGUCCUCAGCUGUGGGACCCAGGCCAGGCCCAAAUUAGAGGGAUGGCGAGUGUUUGUUGAUUGACUAACAGAUUUCUUAAGGGCAGGGACCUUAUCAAGUUAAUCCCCAGAAAAGUGCUGGGCACAGAGGAGGCACUCAAGAAAACAUGUUGAUAGAGCCCAUGAAUAUGGUAAUUGGUUUUUAGAAAUUCUUCACAUUGGUUAGAAACUGUUUGGUGUUUUGGCUUUUCUGCCCCUUCUAGAUGUCAUUUGGGAGAGCUGAGGUUUGCUGCACUUAAAGGUCAGGUCAGCUGGGUCCGGGCUCUUCUCUCCAUUUUCCAAGGGGCUCCCCAGGCCCCCAAAAGGAGCGAUGGGCCCCGCUGUAAUCCUACAAACGCCAACUGAGCGCCCCCCCUCCCGCCCCCACCGGCCCACCUUCUAGCACGCUCUGUGGUGUUCAGAGCCAGGUGCUCUGGGGAGCUCUGUCCACAGCAGGCUGGAGUGUGGUGUGCGAGGGCUAAUAUAUUAUGCAUGGAACUGACUAAAUGGGGACAUUUGGAGAUGAAAAUUGCUGUUAAUGCGUCCACACAUCUUUGGAAUAUAUUAAACGUUUGUAGGGUUGGGAGGCGACAUUAGCCUUAUUUAAUAGAGCCGAUGUAACCAUCCCCACACCCCGGCUUUAAUAGCCCGGGCGCCUCUAGGCCCCCCAGGCUGUUGCUCGGGGACACCACUGGGUAUAUCAGCCAGCGCCGGAGAAUUAUGUAUGAGGCAAAAUGUCAGCCUGGGCUACCAGGCAUUCAGGCAGCAUAUGUCCCAGACUCAUUUUAGACCCAAAGACAGUGACCCCAUGCCGCUCGGUGCAGAAUUCCAUUAAAAAGCCAAAUUACUGGUUUAUCUGCUGUUUGAGCAGAAGAGAGAAUAAACAAAGGGCCAGAUGAACAUGUCUGUCCCCGCAGCGGCCGGACGACCGUCGCUGUGGACCCUGAGGCCAGAGGGCCCAUCUCCGAGGUGCCGCGUAAACCAGCCGUGGGCCUGAGUUCCCGAGGCGCGGGCCGUCUCCCGGGCCUGCGUGGGCAAGGCCCCCGGCUGCCCCCGCUGUGUCUCCUGGAUACAAUUCUAUGAGAGCCUCUUUGAAAACUGAAAAGCUGUUAGAGCGAUUGGACCUGUGUUCUCACUGCCUUAACCAUUUUCGAGGGGAUGAGAAGGAGAAUGAUAGCCGCCCUGAAAAGGCCUCCGCCCUGGCCCCCGCCUGGCCCCGCUCGAAGGUGUUUGCUCGCUGCCCCCGCCACCCGGCAGCCUUGGGCGCGGCAGGCUCUGCUUUACAGUGAGGACGUGGGGCACGGGGAGGGGGAGAGACCCCUCCGAGGCCACCCAGCUGGCAGGCAGGGCAGGCGGGGCUGGCCCCAGGCAGCUGGCCCUUAAGGACUUUGCCUGCCGAGAGCCACCAGGCUUUAGGAACGUUCCGGAGCCCUGGAAGAAGGCAGGCCCGCGGAAGCUUUGCACGAGGCGGUGGGCUCGCUCUUCCCAGUGCUCCGCUGGCCAUAUUUGCGGCGGGUCUCUCCCUGCGCCCGCCCGGCAUCUCUCCGAUUUGGUGAGCCAGCCGCAUUGGGCUGGGUACGGUCCCCGGGGCUCCUGGCUCCUGUCUGGCCUGGGGAGAGGGCCGCUCGCGCGGGCAGAAGACCCAGGGCACAGAGGAGAUGUAAACGCCAAAGACCCACCUUGACUCGUGUCUAUCGCUGCCACAUCUGAGCACCUUUGAGGGUUGCGUGCAGAUCUAGCCAGGGCAGCUGGUGAGCCAGAACGGAGAACUCGGGCCGGCCGGCUGCUGUCUCCAGGGCAGGGCCAGGCACCAGCCCCACUCCCCCAGCCUCCCCCUUGCUUUGCUCUGCCCCCGCCCUUGUUCCGGGACCACCCCGCACAGACUCAGUGGCUGGUGCAGUCCCGGAAGAACCCAUGGAUGUCAGGGCCGAGCGGGAGCCCUGAGUACCUGUCCUCUUGUCCCCUCAACCCCCCGCCGCUCACAUCCUCAUACAGGCGAGGUCCGAGAGGGUGGUCUGCUUGGCCAGGACUUUUCUUCUGAGCAUUGUCUCCGACUGUGGGGGCGGGACCCACCUCUGGCAAAUAGGUAGUUUUCUUCUUUGCAAAAACGGGGUGACCCGGCACCCCACGGCUGCGGGACAGUGAUGCCGCUGCCCUGCCACGGAGGUUCUAGAAGCCAGAACCUCGACCCUGCGGCGUUGGCUCAUAGUUGGUGCUCAGCUAAGGCCAAGAUCAGACGCCAGCACCCAGUAGGUGUUCAGUACGAGAGGGUGAAUUGACAUCAGAUGCCUUCAUUGCCAGGAAGAAGCUCAUAAGAAGGGCUGGAAGGACGUUUGUGGAAUGAAGAAAUAAACGCGUGCUCUUUGAGGGGAUAAAGAAGCAGAGAGAAAAAGAAGAAUCCGGGGAAGAUGGACAUAAAUCUCCACCAAGCACCGCCAAGGCUUUGCAGCCCAGGCGGCUGAAAAGACCCCGCGGAGGCAGAAGGGGCCAUUUGUCACAGGCGGGGACUGGCUUGAGGGCCAGGAAGCAAGGGUGUGGCGGAGGCUCGUCCAUCAUUUUCCCAUUAUUCCCCCGACGUGGAAAGGAGCCUGCGCAAGCCCGCGUGGCGGAAUGGGCAUGGGGGUGGGGGUGGGGAAGGACCCCAAGGAGCGGCAGGCCCGGCAGGUGAGCCCGCGGCUCUGGGUCGGGUCCCAAAGCCCUGGCGUGGGCAGCAGAGAGGACAGGAGCCACUCAAGGCCACCUGACAAGUCAGGGGGCAGGACUUUGUGGCCAGUAUGGCUCUUGGACCCAAAUGGGUGCGUGAUCGAACAUCUGAAAACCCGUCUUGUGCCCUUGGUGUGAGGCGGUGGCUUUCGUACCUGUGAGUCCCAGUGCCAGGCCUGGGUUCAUGCCGUGCCCCUGCCCGGAACGUCCCUCUGCCACCUCCUGCAGGAAGCUGUCCCUGAUCUGCCCCUGCACCCGACACACACACACCUCAGCCUCAAUCUGCAGGGAUCAGCCCCCUGAUUCUUCAAUCAACAGGUAUCUGCCCAGCUGGCAAGCUCUGCAGGGGGUCUCUCUGUUUUCCGCCAGCCCACCCCGGACCGUCAGCACCAGACUCCUCCUGCUUCCCAGGACUCCGGGGAAGGUCCUGCUCUUGGAGAAGGUCAAUGGCAUCCACGCCCCAGCAGAACAGACACGCGGCCCUGCCCCUGCCCCGCCCCAGGAAGAAGUGGGGGCCGUACGCUCCCCACCCUUCAUAAAGCACCCUGAGGGGGUCCCAGGAGUGGAUCCGUCAGGGGUCAGGCCCACGCUGUGGACUGGGGAGGACCAUGAGGGCACGCAGAGAACUCCUGAGUGACCAUGAACUGCAGCGGAAGAGCCAUUGACAUGUGCCCUCCCCCCCAAAAAGCCUCAGAAAUUCCUGCUCUUCCUUUGCAAACACUUGGCAUGUUUUGGGGCUAUUUGAAUAAUAAAUACACAUUCUAAAACUCCAAA